AUUGAACGCUGGCGGCAGGCCUAACACAUGCAAGUCGAGCGGAUGAAGGGAGCUUGCUCCUGGAUUCAGCGGCGGACGGGUGAGUAAUGCCUAGGAAUCUGCCUGGUAGUGUGGGAUAACGUCCGGAAACGGGCGCUAAUACCGCAUACGUCCUGAGGGAGAAAGUGGGGGAUCUUCGGACCUCACGCUAUCAGAUGAGCCUAGGUCGGAUUAGCUAGUUGGUGGGGUAAAGGCCUACCAAGGCGACGAUCCGUAACUGGUCUGAGAGGAUGAUCAGUCACACUGGAACUGAGACACGGUCCAGACUCCUACGGGAGGCAGCAGUGGGGAAUAUUGGACAAUGGGCGAAAGCCUGAUCCAGCCAUGCCGCGUGUGUGAAGAAGGUCUUCGGAUUGUAAAGCACUUUAAGUUGGGAGGAAGGGCAGUAAGUUAAUACCUUGCUGUUUUGACGUUACCAACAGAAUAAGCACCGGCUAACUUCGU
rnacentral:rRNA from 1 species